UCUUAUAAUAAUUGUUUGCAGAUUAAUAUUUUACCAUUCUUUGUGUCCUGAAGUAAAUGUCCCUUUUUCUGUUUCAGUUCUAAGAAAAGCAGUGGGCCUAUUAAACAAUGCUUAGAGAGCAUUUGUGUGUGAUUUGAGUUGGACCGAAAUCUGAAAACUUAAAGAGAAUGACCUGUUUAUUUGGCUCAAAUUCAUUAAAACAACUAUUUCAAAAGCUGAAGGGAUUUUCUUUUUUAUAUUAUAGUUAGAAUAUGUAUAACUCAAUGUUUUAACUAAUUGAAAAAGCUGAAUAAUCGUUCCAAACUUACUGAUUAGUCGGCGAA